rnacentral:rRNA from 1 species
GACGGAAGGUGCAAGCGUUGCUCGGAAUCAUUGGGCGUAAAGCGCGCGUAGGCGGUUACACAAGUUGGAUGUGAAAGCCCUCGGCUUAACUGAGGAAGUGCAUCCAAAACUGUGCAGCUAGAGUACUAAAGAGGGUCGCGGAAUUCCUGGUGUAGCGGUGAAAUGCGUAGAGAUCAGGAAGAACACCGGUGGCGAAAGCGCUCUGCUGGACCUUAACUGACACUGAGGGACGAAAGCUAGGGGAGCGAAUGGG